rnacentral:rRNA from 1 species
UAUUUUAAAGAGCGUUUGAUCCUGGCUCAGGACGAACGCUUGCGGCGUGCCUAAUACAUGCAAGUCGAACGAACGGAGGACGAGCUUGCUCUUCCAAAGUUACUGCCGGACGGGUGAGUCACUUGCGCCCAACCUGCC